AUUAAUAUAUUUGAAAUUAUAUUUAUAUAUAAAUAUUUGAAAUUAUGUAUGUGUAUCUUGUUAUAUAUGAAUUCCAUUUCAUAGUAGUAAAGGCAAAAAAAGUAGUAAAAUAUUUGUUAUAUAAAGAGGGUAUUGGCUUUGAUGGGAUUGAAAAUGACUGAGGUAGAACAAUAGGUUUUUGUUAAGCUGUGGAGGGAGAUAAGGUUAAAAGUGCUACUGAAUUUAAUUAUACAGUAGACCCUGAAUAUGAGAGAGGAGAGGGACAGGGACUCUGGGCCAAAAAGGAACCAGAAGAAAAAUGAAACUGGCCAGCAGGCAGGAUUCCUGGUAUGCAGGGUGUGCACUAGAAUUAAUCAACCUAAUCUUACUGUUGGUGCUAGUCUUGGUCCAAGGUGACAAGAAGGUUCGUAGUGGUAUUGAAGGACCAGUGUGACAAGCAGGCCCAUCAGUGGGAGGUUCAAGGGAAGAAGCAAGUAGGAUCACAUUGAAGUUGUUGAUGAUCUUCUUAUUCACUUUGGCUGGGUGUGAGGCAAGCUCCUGAGGCACAUUAAAGGUUAGCUUCUGGGAAACACAGAGAAGCGGGGAAUGCAAUGAAUCCUUAGCACACUGAGACCUGGCUUUGACUGGCAACAUAAUUUCAUUUUAAGCCUUGAGAUGAGCUUAGGAACUGGCCCUCAGUUGCGGUUGUGUUGUAGAAUGCAGGGCUGUGUAGGUGGGAUCUUGUUCUGUGGGUUAGAGAGCCUCUGAAGACUUUAGAGUUGGGCAUAUUAGGGACAAAAAUCUGAUAUUCAGAUAGGAUAUCAAUUAGAAAAAGAAGAAACUGGAAGCUGAUAAGUCAGUCAUUCAGUGUGUUGCAGAUUUGAAAUUAUGGGUUUAUUAGAUGUUAGUAACAAAAAAUAAUAUUCUAUAGAAAGAGAUGUCAGAGCUAGGUGAAGUAUUGAUUACAGAUUGAGAGGAAAAUGUCAAUGGUUUUGAGUUUGACUGAGUGAAAAAAUAGGGCCAGAGAUAGAAAUAGUUGGUGAUUGCAUGGAGAAUUGCUUUUAAGACUUUACAGUUUAAAAGGCUGUUAUCCGAUAUAAUCUUCAUAUGCUAGCCCUUUGAAAAAGUUUUAAAUUUUUAUUUUGUAGAAUUUAUAUUGUUUAUAGAACCUGUAUUAUAAAUAUGGAAUUAAGGCUCAGAGGGGUUAGAUGACUUGUCUAAGGAGCAGGAUCUUGUACCUAGACCUUGUUAGAUUUCAACAGGGUCAUUACUGACAUUUUGGAGUAAUCAAUUUGGGUUUUAGGGAUUUUGAGCUCAUGAGACAUCUGUAUGAAAAUGUCUUGUUGGGAAUGUGGGAGUGCAGCUCACAAGAGUUUAGCGUAAGUAGUAUAUAUGUACCAUGGUCGUUAAGAAGUUGAACCAUGUAUAACAUUUUUGUGGAAGCGAAUGUUGAGUGAAAACAGAGUCAGUUACAAGGCAAGGUAGAAACUCCCAUGGGAAGCUGGAGGUGAUUUCUCUUAUGUUGUACAGUGAUGAAAAAAUCAGUAGGUUUUGAUCCUGACUUUGUUUUUCAUCCAUGUACAGUAUAAGAUAAGCCACCUCAAUUAGUUUGCUAGGGCUGCUGAAAAAAAGUACCACAGCCUGGGUAGCUUAAACAACAGAAACUUAAUGUCUUGCAGUCUUGGAAGCUGGAAGUCUGAGAGUAAGGUGUCAUGGCCCUCCAAAUGAGGGCAAUGAGGAAAGAUCUGUGCCAGCCACUCUCCUUAACUUGUAGAUAGUGGUCUUCUCCCUGUGUCUUCACAUCAUUUUUCCUGUGUACCUGUCUGCAUCCAAAUUUUCUCUUCUUACAAGGACAAUAAUCACUUUGGUUUAGGGUCCACCCAUAUGACAUCAUUUCAACUUAAUUACCUUUUUGAAGACCCUAUCUCCAAAUACAGUCCUAUUCUAAGGUACUAAAGGUCAGGACUUCAACAUGAAUUUUUUGGGGGGACACAGUUCAGCCCAUAACAGCACUUAAUGGCUUUGGGCCUUAGUAACCCUACGUAUUAAUCCAUUCUUGCACUGUUGUAAAGAAAUACCUGAGACUGAGUAAUUUCUAAAGAAAAGAGGUUUAAUUGGCUCAUGGUUCUGCAGGCUGUACCAGAAGCACAGCAUCUUCUGGAGAGGCCUCAGGAAACUUUCAAUCAUCCUAUAAGGCAAAGGGGAAGCAGGCACGUCUUACAUGCUGAAGCAGGAGGAAUAGAGAGAGGGAGGAGGUCCUAUACACUCUUAAACAACCAGAUUUCAUGACAGCUCACUGACUCACUAUUGAUAUGACAACACGAAGGGGGAUGGUGUUAAACCAUGAUAAACCACCCCAGAUCCAAUCACCUCCCACCAGGCCCCACCUCCAAUAAUGGGGAUUACAAUUCAACAUGAGAUUUAGGUGAGGGCACAGACUCAAACCAUGUCACCCUACUUGCAAAAAAUAGGAGUUGGAUUAUGCCAUCUCUUAAGAACUACUUUGGCGUUGUGGUUUUGAUUUCCCAAAGAAUCUUUAAACUCAGAAUUUGGAAUGUUCUGGAGAUCAGGGAAUGAUAGAAAAAUAGUUGGGGCCUUGAUCACAAAAUGGCAUUUUAUUUUCUAUUGAAUAAAAUAUUUUAAUGUCUUUCUAAUAAAGUCUGACUUCUGAGUGAUUUUUUUUUUUUUUGUAGCAGUAAAUGACUUCAAGGAAGAGAAAUUAAACUCUGGGUCAGUUUUUGUUAUUUGUUUUUUUCUUGCCUUCUCAUUCUGCCUUUCAUAUUCUUAUUUUUCUGCUGUUUAUAUCUGGAAGCAAAAGGCAUCAUCAUUGCUUAGCCUUUCCCCAUUAAUACUUCUGGAAGUCCAGACACAAUAACUCCUCUGUGUAUCUAAUGGUAGAAUUUGAAAUAUUUAGGGCAAUGUGGGAGACAUUUGGGAUAUGUUCAAUUUUACAUUGAUGAGGAAGCAGCAUGGUGUGUUCAACUGAGAUAGAACACCUGAAUUUGAAUUUGCCCCUCUUCUGCUGUGUUGAUCAAUUUCUCAUUUACAAAAUAUCAACAGCGGGAAGAUUUCAGAAUAGGAAAGCACCAUGCACAGUAAAGUAGUUUGUAAGUGGCUACUUGCCACUCACAGGCUUACCUAGAAACUUGGAUUUUAGGGCGUAAUUUUCACCUCAAGUGGAAAUACUUGAAGCAACUCUAAUCUAACCUAGAUUUAUGUCCAAAGAUGUACUUUGAAUUUUAUCUCUCAUUGAGCUAGAGUGUGUAAUGGAUUAAUUCAAGUUCAGGCGCUUUGAAACUCAUUCUGUCCUCGAUGGCAGCUUGGAGAAAUUAAGUUGUAGUGCUCAGGGUCAGCUUUUCUAUUUUAAUUUAGAAUCAUUAUAUGGCAUCAUCUUGGUUUAUGAGGAACAGAUAAAGGGCUGGGAGAUACAGGAGAGGUUUGAAAGACAGUGGAUAAAAUGUCUUAGGAUAUUCCAUCUUUCAAACAACUUUUAAGUGUUAAGUGUGUAUGUUCUUACUCUCUGAUAUUGUAUUCUAGACUUCCACGUUUUUUGUUGUCUUAAGAUUUUCUUAGACAGGCAUGAGGUGAAUGAACCAGUUGUCUCUUUUCAUAGAUUCUUGAAUAUGUGAUGGUUUUCUUAGGUGAGAAUUAUGCUUAAAGAGAAAUCUAGAUACUCUAAUAGGGAACAAAUUUAAAUUAAAAUGGUAGCAGUAUAAAUAGACAAUAUUUGGUGUGUGCUUGCACAGCCAGAGCCUAGUCUCACUUAACACUCACAAAACCCUCUAAGGUAGGUACUAUCAUUAUUGCUAUUUUGAGGUUAGUAAAGUUAGGAUUGGAGAAGUCACUCACCUAAGGUUAACGCUAGCAUGUGGUAGAGCUAAAAGCUGAACCUGGCUGGGUGCGGUGGCUCACACCUGUAAUCCCAGUACUUUGGGAGGCGGAGGCAGGCGGAUCACCUGAGGUCAGGAGUUUGAGACCAGCCUGUUCAACGUGGCAAAACCCCGUGUCUACUAAAAAUACAAAAAAAUUAACCAGGUGUGGUGGCGGGCACCUGUAAUCCCAGCUACUAGGGAGGCUGAGGCAGGAAAAUCACUUGAACCUGGGAGGCAGAGGUUGUAGUGAGACAAGAUCGCGCCACUGCGCUCCAGCCUGGGUGACAAGAGUGAAACUCCAUCUCAAAAAAAAAAAAAAAAAAAAAAAAAAAGCUGAACCUGAGCAAUCAUACGGCAGAGCCUAUACUUAAACGUUAUACUCUGCUAGAUUUUAUGUAGAAAUUUUGAAUUUAUGCUUCAUUUUCAUUUCAUACAGAGGGUUGUGUUAUUGCCAUUAAGUCAAGGUUAGCAAAAAAGAUAGGGAUUUUGAGGGGGGACAUGGGAAAAAAUUUAUUUAUAAAAGUGAUAACACAUUUUUCAAUAAAGAAAGGAAGGCAGCAUCCACAUAGGACAAGAAAGGGUCUAAAAGAGGAAAGGAACAAAUAGAUUCAACACAAUAUAACUCAGAGACAGUAGAAACAUGUAGAGGAAAAGGGGACCUCUCAUGGUAAACUCUGUAGUAUUGAACUUUUUGUUUGGGUACAUUCUUUUUAAUACAUGUCUGAGUAUUCCCAUGUGCUUUAUCCACCUUCUCUCUCUUCCUUUCUCCACCCUUCUUUAUGUAUUUUUUUCAUUAUUCAUUCUAUUAGAAUUCUAUGGAAACAUUUUAGAUUUUUAAUACAAAAUGUGGUACCAGGAAGGCAGAGGUAGAUAUAAACUGAAAAAGAGAUAAAGGAAAAAGAACAACUUCUUUUAUUUCAAAUAUUUGGAAUUAGUUAACCUGCUUGUAAAAUGAAUAAUUUUAUGAUUUAAUUGUAAAAUUUGUACUGUAUAAUUAAAAUAUUCUAAUAGUACAAUAAAUGUUAUAUGAAUUAUUGAUAUUACUUUUACAAAUUUUUUAAAGUUAUAAAUUGGAAAAUAAGACUGAUUUUAAUUGAGUCAUUAAAAUUUUGGUGUUUGACUGAUACUUGAUUCUCUACCUUACAUUUUUCUUUUUUAAUGUUAUAGCCUAUCUGUUUUUGUUGUUUUUCAUUAACCAUACCAUUUUUCCUUGUAACUGUAUGGUACAAUUGCUUGUGAAGUUUGUAUAUGUAAUUGAGUUAUAAUUCAAUUGAUAAUUAACCAGUCUAGAUUUCAUUUCUUGCAUUUCAUGUUUGGGGUGUUGUAUUGCUUUUCUAGGGCUUCUGUGAUAAAUUACCACAAAUUUGCUGGCUUAUUCUUUUGUAGUGCUGGAGAGUAGAAGUCCAAAAUCAGGAUAUUGGCCAGUUCAUGCUUCUUUUAGAGGCUAUAGGGAAGAAAUUCUUGCUAGUUUUUUCCUAGCUCCUGGUGGCUUCCUACAAUCUUUGGUGUUCUUUGGCUUAUCGUUACAUCACUUCGAUCUCUGCCUCCAUCUUCACAUGGUCUUCUCUCUCUCUGUGUCUUCUCCUCUUAUAGGGACAUCAGUCAUUGGAUUUAGAGCCCACGCUAAUCCAGCAUGGCUUCAUCUUAACUUAGCUAAUUAUGUCUGCAAAGGCCCCAUUUGCAAAUAAGGUCACCUUCUGAGGUUCUGGGCUGACAUAAAUUUCUGAGAGACACUAUUCAACCUGCUACCAGUGUUUAUUUUUCUCAGUUUCACAGGGAGAUUUGUAGGUCAUAAUGGACUGGGACCUGCAUUGGACCUUUGAAAGCUUAGGAGAAAAAUGUACUACAUGGUGGUUUUGAUAACACUCUUCUUUGUUUUCUUAUUACUGAAGUUUGCAUAUAAUAGACAAUGAAUGAAUAUAGAUAACUUUCUCCAAUGUGAUUUAUUUUUGUUUCUCUCCAUAUAGGCUCUUUUGUUAUUGUUAUUCAUUUAUUUUUGUUUUCAAGCAAAAUAUCAUUCUCUGUGGAUUAUUGAAUGACAUAUGAACUGUGGCUUGUGUGGAGAUAGAUUACAUCUGUCAAGUUAGUGAGUAUGAUUGAGACAUUGGUAGUUAGUCUGGGAUUGGAAGCAGGAAGAACUGAUAUAAUGGAGACCUCUAAAGCUACUAAGUUGCUGUGAAAUGAUAAAGGUCUACUUCCACAAUUCUAUACGUUGGCCACUGGGAUUUCAGACACAUUUACACAAAGACAAAAUGUUCCAGGCUGUUCUGUUGGAGUCUUUUUUUAUUCAGAUAUGCCUUUUAUCCAGGUAUAUGGACAUGUUUUUUUAUCCAGAUACAUCUUUUUUAUCUUUGAGUAGAUUCCUGGGCUGUCCCAUAAGAGCCUUUUUUUAUCCAAAUAUAUAGUUUUGAUGAUCAAAUACAACCUAAAUGAUAAGUAUAUAAUCAUCUUUGGUUAUAACUGAAAUUAUUUUGUCAAUAUCUGGAUGCCUAGAUACUUCUUACCCCUAUCACCUUCCCAGUGGAGAGAGGACAUCUGCCAAAAGAGAACUCAGGUCCUCUGUUCCCUCCCUUUUCCCUGACCUGGAGUCUCUUGCACUCAGGCUCCUGAAAGCUAAGUUGAGAGAGUGGGCACAGAUGGGAAGAGGGGCUCCUGGGACAUAACCUCCUUCUUUAAUAGACUGGAGGGCUGUUGCAGGGAGAGGAAGAAAGGACAAACAUUUGUUUCCAUUUGUGUUUUGUCAAUAUCGCUGUUUGGAAUUGUUCAUCCUCUUGUAAUGAUUUCAAAAUUAACAAGUUGAUUAUAGAUGGAAUUUUCAGUGAAACAUUAUGUUAAUGCAACAUUUGACCCUGUGUAGUAGGUGACAGGUUAAAUUAGGUUUCUUCAAGGGUCUUAAUAACUUUUUUUAAGACUCAAAAAUUCUUUGCUCAGCCUAGACAUUUCUGAAUUCAGCUGUUUUAUUGGCAACUGUUUUUAAAGACACUAUUUGUAGCAUCAUUGUUGGAAGUACAUGAAUCCUAUAAAAGCUAAUUAGGAAUCUAAAUCAGACUUUAGAGAUUACCUUGUCCAGGGGUUUCUCAGUUGCAUCCUCAUGGUCUUCAAGCUAUGUGUUUGGUCUUACAGUAAAUUUUAAUAAAUAGUGACCAGAAAGUGGUCCAGGGCCUGGUUUCUGAAGCCUGACUGCCUGGAUUGCAGUUUGGACUUCAUUCUCAUCUAAGUGUAUGAUUUUGAGCAAGUCUUAAACUUGCUGUGCCUCAUUUUCCAUUUCUUAAAGAGGAUGAAAAUACGACUCAACUUACAGGCUUCUUGGGACAUUAUAUCCAUCAAAUAUGAACAUGAGGCCAUAAAAUAGAAGCAAUCAAGGAAUAAUGAAAAUUUCUUCAAAAUAAAAAUACAUUAACAGGUAUUAAACUUUCAGAAGAACAUUUGGAUUGUGAACUCAGAGAAAUCUCCCAAAAGGAGAUCAAGAAGAGUUAUCAUCUCUUAUGUCUUUGAGAAUAAAUAAUAUAGUUAUUUGAAUUUUC